UGGGGAAUAUUGGACAAUGGGCGAAAGCCUGAUCCAGCCAUGCCGCGUGUGUGAAGAAGGUCUUCGGAUUGUAAAGCACUUUAAGUUGGGAGGAAGGGCAGUAAGCGAAUACCUUGCUGUUUUGACGUUACCGACAGAAUAAGCACCGGCUAACUCUGUGCCAGCAGCCGCGGUAAUACAGAGGGUGCAAGCGUUAAUCGGAAUUACUGGGCGUAAAGCGCGCGUAGGUGGUUCGUUAAGUUGAAUGUGAAAGCCCCGGGCUCAACCUGGGAACUGCAUCCAAAGCUGGCGAGCUAGAGUAUGGCAGAGGGUGGUGGAAUUUCCUGUGUAGCGGUGAAAUGCGUAGAUAUAGGAAGGAACACCAGUGGCGAAGGCGACCACCUGGGCUCAUACUGACACUGAGGUGCGAAAGCGUGGGGAGCAAACAGG
rnacentral:rRNA from 1 species